GACGAACGCUGGCGGCGUGCCUAACACAUGCAAGUCGAACGAGAUCCAUGGGAGCUUGCUCCCGGAAGAUCUAGUGGCGAACGGGUGAGUAACACGUGAGAAACCUGCCCUGGAGUGGGGAAUAACUCGGGGAAACUCGAGCUAAUACCGCAUACCCUCGGAUGGUCGCAUGGCCGACCGAGGAAAGAUUUAUCGCUCUAGGAGGGUCUCGCGGCCUAUCAGCUAGUUGGUGGGGUAACGGCCUACCAAGGCAGCGACGGGUAGCUGGUUUGAGAGAACGAUCAGCCACACUGGGACUGAGACACGGCCCAGACUCCUACGGGAGGCAGCAGUGGGGAAUCUUGCGCAAUGGGCGAAAGCCUGACGCAGCAACGCCGCGUGCGGGAUGACGGCC
rnacentral:rRNA from 1 species